rnacentral:rRNA from 1 species
GACGAACGCUGGCGGCGUGCCUAACACAUGCAAGUCGAGCGAUGAAGCCCUUCGGGGUGGAUUAGCGGCGGACGGGUGAGUAACACGUGGGUAACCUGCCUCAAAGAGGGGGAUAGCCUCCCGAAAGGGAGAUUAAUACCGCAUAACAUUAGUUUUUCGCAUGAAGAACUAAUUAAAGGAGUAAUCCGCUUUGAGAUGGACCCGCGGCGCAUUAGCUAGUUGGUGAGGUAAAGGCUCACCAAGGCGACGAUGCGUAGCCGACCUGAGAGGGUGAUCGGCCACAUUGGAACUGAGACACGGUCCAGACUCCUACGGGAGGCAGCAGUGGGGAAUAUUGCACAAUGGGCGAAAGCCUGAUGCAGCAACGCCGCGUGAGUGAUGAAGGCCUUCGGGUUGUAAAGCUCUGUCUUUGGGGACGAUAAUGACGGUACCCAAGGAGGAAGCCACGGCUAACUACGUGCCAGCCGCCGCGGUAA